rnacentral:rRNA from 1 species
AGCUGCCGCUGGGGGAUGGGCUCGCGCCCCAUUAGCUAGUUGGUAGGGUAACGGCCUACCAAGGCAACGAUGGGUAGCUGGUCUGAGAGGACGAUCAGCCACACUGGAACUGAGACACGGUCCAGACUCCUACGGGAGGCAGCAGUGGGGAAUAUUGCACAAUGGGGGAAACCCUGAUGCAGCAACGCCGCGUGCGGGAUGAAGGCCUUCGGGUCGUAAACCGCUGUCAGGGGGGAAGAAAUCGCUCCGGUGAAUAGCCGGAGUGGAUAACGGUACCCCCAGAGGAAGCCCCGGCUAACUCCGUGCCAGCAGCCGCGGUAAGACGGAGGGGGCGAGCGUUGUUCGGAAUCAUUGGGCGUAAAGCGCGCGUAGGCGGUCGAGUAAGUCGGACGUGAAAGCCCAGGGCUCAACCCUGGAAGUGCGUUCGAUACUGCACGACUUGAGUACGGGAGAGGAGAGUGGAAUUCCCAGUGUAGCGGUGAAAUGCGUAGAUAUUGGGAGGAACACCAGUGGCGAAGGCGGCUCUCUGGACCGUCACUGACGCUGAGGCGCGAAAGCUAGGGGAGCAAACGGGAUUAGAUACCCCGGUAGUCCUAGCCGUAACGAUGGGCACUAGGUGUUGGGGGUAUUGACCCCUCCAGUGCCGGAGCUA